AUCAUUAUUAUUAUUAUUAAUGAGGAAGGUAUUUAUAUAUAUAUAUAUAUAUAAAUGUGUGUUUGUGUGCAUGCACGCGCGUGUAUUUCUAUGCCGAUCGUAUUUGCGAGAAAGUUUUCUUCGCAUUUGUACAAAAUAAAAAGAAAGAAAAAAAAGAAGAAAAAAUAGGGAAAAAAGAAUAUAUAUACAGAGAAAGAAAAUUACGACCGAAAGGAUUAAUCGAUAUAUAAACGAUUUUAAACGAUCUUUCACGAACAGACAUUAAAUGAUCUUUCACGAGCAGAGAAAAUGGGGACGUUAUUUCCGUCACAUCAUUUUAUUUUUUGUUUUCUUUUUUUUUUUUGUUGGUUUCGUUUCUCUCUUCUUUUUUUUUUUUUUUUGGUUAUUUUUCACCUACUAAUGUGUCCAAAUUCAAUUUUUGUUUUAUACAUAUCGAAUAUUGUGCGGUAUUGGUACAACGAUUUGUUUUUUAUUUAUUUUUUUUUUUAAAUUUAUAUUUUAUAUUCUUCUUUCGGAGUAGUUGAAAAGGUGGUGAAACGAUUCGUGCCAAGAAAGAUCGAUAAUAGAAUAUUUCGCGAGUCAAACAAACGUACGUACAAAGAAUCUUAUUAAUAAAAUAAAUAGUAAAUUUAUAAAGUGUGUCCGAUAAAUUGGUGAUACGAAAUAACAGAGGAAUAAUUUUCAACUUUUGCAAAUAAGAAAAAAAUAUAUAAAAUCUAGUACGAAUAAAUUUGAUUCUACAUUUUCAUGUAAAUAAUAAAAAUCAUCAUUCCCUGUUAGUUUUGUAAUAUCAAUUUUAGGGACACCCUGUAUACUUUUUCUACUUAUACAUUUACACGCGUACGGGGUUAAAACAAGACGUCCAUUUCUCUGUUCGAUGAUCGUUCAGGUAUAUAUGUAUACAUGUAAGAAAAUAAAAGUGAAACAAAAAAACCGUAUAGAAUUACCUAUCAGGUAUACAUACAUACAUAUAUAUAUAUAUAUAUAUUAAAUAUAAAGCAUAUAAGUUAAAUUAGAUUUUCAGCGAAAUAUGUAGAGAAAAAUGAAUGGAAAGAAAACAAGAGGGAAAAAAGAAAGAGAAAAAAACGAGAUAAGAAAGUUAAGGGUUUUUAAAAGUUAUAGGUUAGGAUUUGACGAAGUUGUAAUACGUUGAAAGAGUAUACACAAGUGUAUGUGUGUGUGUGUGUGUGUAGAGAGAGAGAGAGAGAGAAAGAGAAAGAACGAAUUUUUUGUGAAAAUUUAUCAAUUCGGCGACACAAUUAACAUACUCCAUGCCUUACGAAUAAUAGAAAUAAUGCGAGUACACGUAAGAGUGACGUAGAUAGAUCGUUAAUUAAGUAGUGAAAUUAAUAUUAAGAUCGAAGGAAAAA